rnacentral:rRNA from 1 species
AAUGAACGCUGGCGGCAUGCCUUACACAUGCAAGUCGAACGGCAGCGGACCUUCGGGUGCCGGCGAGUGGCGAACGGGUGAGUAAUAUAUCGGAACGUACCUUUCAGUGGGGGAUAACGUAGCGAAAGUUACGCUAAUACCGCAUAUUCUGUGAGCAGGAAAGCAGGGGAUCGCAAGACCUUGCGCUGAUUGAGCGGCCGAUAUCAGAUUAGCUAGUUGGUGAGGUAAAGGCUCACCAAGGCGACGAUCUGUAGCGGGUCUGAGAGGAUGAUCCGCCACACUGGAACUGAGACACGGUCCAGACUCCUACGGGAGGCAGCAGUGGGGAAUUUUGGACAAUGGGCGCAAGCCUGAUCCAGCCAUGCCGCGUGAGUGAAGAAGGCC